GGAAUCUUCCACAAUGGACGCAAGUCUGAUGGAGCAACGCCGCGUGAGUGAAGAAGGGUUUCGGCUCGUAAAGCUCUGUUGUUAAAGAAGAACGUGGGUAAGAGUAACUGUUUACCCAGUGACGGUAUUUAACCAGUAAGCCACGGCUAACUACGUGCCAG
rnacentral:rRNA from 1 species